AACGAACGCUGGCGGCAUGCCUAACACAUGCAAGUCGAACGAGAUCUUCGGGUCUAGUGGCGCACGGGUGCGUAACGCGUGGGAAUCUGCCCUUUGGUUAGGAAUAACAGUUGGAAACGACUGCUAAUACCGGAUGAUGACGAAAGUCCAAAGAUUUAUCGCCAGAGGAUGAGCCCGCGUAGGAUUAGCUAGUUGGUGUGGUAAAGGCGCACCAAGGCGACGAUCCUUAGCUGGUCUGAGAGGAUGAUCAGCGAAACUGGGACUGGGACACGGCCCAGACUCCUACGGGAGGCAGCAGUGGGUAAUAUUGGACAAUGGGCGAAAGCUGGAUGCAGCAAUGCCGCGUGAGUAAUGAAGGCCGGAGGGUUGUAAAGCACUUUUACCCGGGAUGAUAAUGACAGUACCGGGAGAAUAAGCCCCGGCUAACUCCGUGCCAGCCGCCGCAGUAA
rnacentral:rRNA from 1 species